GCAAGUCGAACGAAGGCCCUAGCUUGCUAGGUGUCCUUAGUGGCGCACGGGUGAGUAACGCGUGGGAACCUGCCCAAGAGCGGGGAACAACCAUUGGAAACGAUGGCUAAUACCGCAUACGCCCUCCGGGGGAAAGGCUUCGGCCACUCAUGGAUGGUCCCGCGUCUGAUUAGCUAGUUGGUAGGGUAACGGCCUACCAAGGCGACGAUCAGUAGCUGGUCUGAGAGGAUGAUC
rnacentral:rRNA from 1 species